AACGAACGCUGGCGGCAUGCCUAACACAUGCAAGUCGAACGAGACCGUCGUGUCUAGUUGCGCACGUGUGCGUAACGCGGGGUAACCUACCCGUAAGUUCGGUAUAACUCCCCUUAAGAUAUCCUAAUACCGCUUAAUCUCUUCGCACCAAAGAGUUAUUGCCGUUGGGUGGGCCCUCGUUAGAUUAGGUAGUUGGUAGUGUAAAAGCAUACCAUGGCCACGAUGCAGAGCUGGUCUGAGAAGCUGAUCAGCCACACUAGGAAUGAGACCCGGCCCAGACUGGUAGGGGAGGGAGCAGUGGGGUGUAUUGGAGAAUGAGCGCAAGCCUGAUAACGCAAUGCCGCGUGAGUGAUGAAGGCGUUAGGGUUGUAAAGCUGUUUUAGCCGGGAUGAGAAUGACAGUACCGGGAAAAUAAGCUCCGGCUAACUACGUG
rnacentral:rRNA from 1 species